GAUGGCUCCUAUCGAAGCCGGUCAUGCUCUUCUUAUAGCAGUGAUUGGUCAAAAGGAAGCCAAGAUGAAAACUUUUACCGACGGUCGCUGUACAGUUCACGAUAACUGUAAUGGCAACAUUUAGGAAAAGGACACUC